rnacentral:lncRNA from 1 species
UCUAAUCCAAGAUAUAUUGAGAUGUUUGUUUGGUGAUGCAUUUUCAUAUAUAGUGCGUAUGAAUGAACUGUUUUCAGUGUUUCUACUCACUGGGCUUUAGAAGCUCAUCCCUUUCCCUUAAUCCCAGUUUUGCAGGUUCAGAGUAGCUGGGAAGGGCAGAAACAUCAGAGGUGCUAAAGGAUUGCAUGUGUAAUAGUAUAGUGUGGACAUGAUGUAAAUUAAGUUAUAUGUUACAGAUGUAAAGUGAUGUACUAGAUAGAAUGUGCUUUUGCCUAUAGUGUAUGUUAAUCCCUUGAGUAUAUGCAUGUAUCCUGUUUUAUAGUUUCUUCUUGAUGAGAAAUGAGUCAGACCAGACUUAUUAUAUGUGGUGUUUCGAAAACCCAGUGAAUGAUAACUGUGAGGGAAGAUAGGGAUUCAUUCCUUUGACCCAAGACCAGUGCAAUAGGAAAGACCAGGUUUGAUUCCUGUGAUCCAUAGAGAGAGGCCAUUAGAGAAGACCAGGUUUGAUUCCUGUGACUCUAUGGUAGCCAAGUUAACUUAUGAUAUGCUGACCCUUACAGAGUGGGUUCUAUGCUGCAGAGCGC